UCCAUGUGACUGACUCUGUGUGUUUGCAUAUGUGUCCUGCCUCUCUGCUCCCAGCUGUUAAGAGGUCAGUGUUGAUCAGUGGCUGUCCAGGCCUUUCAGAGCCACUGACACACCAGCAGCACAAUGAUGAUGUCACUGACUCUACUGCUGACCACCCUGGGACUCCUGGUUCACGGAUCUUCAGGACAAGUCACUAUAACUCAGACUCCAGGAUCUCAGUCUGUUGUUCCAGGACAGACUGUCUCUAUUAAAUGUAAAGUCAAUCCAAGCACGGGUAACUGCUUCUACUGGUACCUUCAGAAACCAGGAGAAGCACCUAAACUCAUUAUUACAUGUGCAAGCUCCCGUCAGUCUGGAGUCCCUGAUCGUUUCAGUGGAACAAGCUCUGGAAAUACUGACUUCACUCUGACCAUCAGUGGAGUUCAGGCUGAAGAUGCUGCAGUUUAUUACUGUCAGAGUUAUCACAGCGGUGGUGUGUUCACACAGUGAAAAACAGUCGUACAAAAACCUC